CGAGUUGAGGCGUAAACUUCCAUGACACUUCAUACCUGUCAGUAGGACCCCUAAGCCUAACGGACAGAACAAGUGGCGGCAUAUCAAGGGAGACAAGCUCUGCCCCAGGCCUGUUGACUCCGCUGGUGACCCUGUUGCUCAGUUUGCUUACCGCCAAAAUUCUGGUCUAGGGAGAUCAGUGAUGAUCGCUAUUUUAAAAUUAAUCAACAUAUUUGGAUUAUAAC